CGCACUGUUGUAUCUGCGUCCAACAGUACCUCCUGAUGGAUGUUCACUUAGCAGUGCUACACUAAUUCAGCAUUUGGCAUCGUUGGUUAGCUUGUUGAUUGUGCUUGCUAACCUGGUAUUUUUGUUGAUACAUGC